GGGCGCCGCUGAAGAGGCUCAGGAUCGACUGCGUAUUCUGGAGGACGUCCAGAGCGACAAGGCCACCAUCAGCAGAGCCGUGGCCCAGAACCGAGACCUCAAAGACCAGCUGGCCGAGCUGCAGAACGGCUUCGUCAAGCUGACCAAUGAGAACAUGGAGCUGACCAGCGCUCUGCAGUCCGAGCAGCACAUCAAGAAGGAGAUCGCUCGUAAGAUCGGUCAGCUGCAGGAAGACCUGCACGGUGCCAAAGAACAGCUGCAGGAGAAGUGCGGAGAGCUGGCGUCCGUGCAGGAGCAGAGGGAUCAGUGUCUGGUUCACCUGCAGCAGUACACAGCUGGAUACAAGCAGCUGGUGGCCAGAGCGAGAC